rnacentral:tRNA from 1 species
UAAGCCCAUGAAAACCAAAAAUUUCUUCUCCAGAUUUGCAGUCCGGAACGCGUUGGGCCU